rnacentral:rRNA from 1 species
GAUGAACGCUGGCGGCGUGCCUAAUACAUGCAAGUCGAGCGAAGCGGGGACGGGGGAGUAACACGUGGAAAACCGCCUAUAACACAGGGACAACAGGGGGAAACACGAGCUAAACAGGAUGCUUAGGGAUGGAUCCGCGCUGGAUUAGCUAGUUGGUAAGGUAACGGCUUACCAAGGCAACGAUGCAUAGCCGACCGUAGAGGGUAAUCGGCCACCCGGGAACUGAGAACCGGUCCAGACUCCUAGGGGAGGAAGCAGUAGGGAACCUUCCGCAAUGGGCGAAAGCCUGCCGGAGCAACGCCGCGUGAGUGAUGAAGGUCUUCGGAUCGUAAAACUCUGUUAUUAGGGAAGCGGUACCUAAUCAGAAAGCCACGGCUAACUACGUGCCAGCCGCCGCGGUAAUUC